UGGGGAAUAUUGCACAAUGGGCGCAAGCCUGAUGCAGCCAUGCCGCGUGUGUGAAGAAGGCCUUCGGGUUGUAAAGCACUUUCAGUCAGGAGGAAAGGUUAGUAGUUAAUACCUGCUAGCUGUGACGUUACUGACAGAAGAAGCACCGGCUAACUCCGUGCCAGCAGCCGCGGUAAUACGGAGGGUGCGAGCGUUAAUCGGAAUUACUGGGCGUAAAGCGUACGCAGGCGGUUUGUUAAGCGAGAUGUGAAAGCCCCGGGCUCAACCUGGGAACUGCAUUUCGAACUGGCAAACUAGAGUGUGAUAGAGGGUGGUAGAAUUUCAGGUGUAGCGGUGAAAUGCGUAGAGAUCUGAAGGAAUACCGAUGGCGAAGGCAGCCACCUGGGUCAACACUGACGCUCAUGUACGAAAGCGUGGGGAGCAAACAGGAUUAGAUACCCUGGUAGUCCACGCCGUAAACGAUGUCUACUAGAAGCUCGGAACCUCGGUUCUGUUUUCAAAGCUAACGC
rnacentral:rRNA from 1 species